rnacentral:rRNA from 1 species
UACGUAGGGUGCGAGCGUUAAUCGGAAUUACUGGGCGUAAAGGGUCCGCAGGCGGAAAGAUAAGUCAGUGGUGAAAUCUCCCAGCUCAACUGGGAAACUGCCAUUGAUACUGUUUUUCUUGAAUUUGGUCGGAGUGGGCGGAAUGUGUCAUGUAGCGGUGAAAUGCAUAGAUAUGACACAGAACACCGAUAGCGAAGGCAGCUCACUAGACCUGAAUUGACGCUCAUGGACGAAAGCGUGGGGAGCGAACAGG